AUUGAACGCUGGCGGCAGGCCUAACACAUGCAAGUCGAGCGGAUGAAGGGAGCUUGCGCCUGGAUGCAGCGGCGGACGGGUGAGUAAUGCAUAGGAAUCUGCCCGGUAGUGGGGAUAACGACCAGAAACGGGCGCUAAUACCGCAUACGUCCGGAAGGAGAAAGUGGGGGAUCUUCGGACCUCACGCUAUCAGAUGAGCCUAGGUCGGAUUAGCUAGUUGGUGGGGUAAAGGCCUACCAAGGCGACGAUACGUAACUGGUCUGAGAGGAUGAUCAGGCACACUGGAACUGAGACACGGUCCAGACUCCUACGGGAGGCAGCAGUGGGGAAUAUUGGACAAUGGGCCAAAGCCUGAUCCAGCCAUGCCGCGUGUGUGAAGAAGGUCUUUGGAUUGUAAAGCCCUUUAAGUUGGGAGGAAGGGCAGUAAGUUAAUACCUUGCUGUUUUGACGUUACCCACAGAAUAAGCACCGGCUAACUUCGUG
rnacentral:rRNA from 1 species